UCCCAUGUGCUCAAGUGGAUAGGAUUCCUGGCUUUCACCCUGGUAGCUCGGGAUCGAUUCCCGGCAUGGGAA